GGGGCAUGUGCUCGACCCAAUCUAUUUAUCUUCUCUUGUGCACCAUUUGUAGUCUUUUGAAGGUUAGAAAGAGUGAACUCUCGCAGCAAUGCGGUUUGGGUGGUCUGAAGCGUAACAAGCUUCAACCCGCCUGCUCGCUUUCUCUCUUUUGAAGGCUAUGUUUUCAUAUACACUAUACAAAGUCAUAGAAUGUCAAUUAACGAUUGUGCUUAGUCGCAGUCAUUAAACCUAUACAACUUUCAGCAACGGAUCUCUUGGCUCUCCCAUCGAUGAAGAACGCAGCGAAAUGCGAUAAGUAAUGUGAAUUGCAGAAUUCAGUGAAUCAUCGAAUCUUUGAACGCACCUUGCGCCCUUUGGUAUUCCGAAGGGCAUGCCUGUUUGAGUGUCAUUAUAUUCUCAACCCAAAGGCUUUUUAUUAAGCGUUUGUGGCUUGGACGUGGGGGUUUUGCUGGCUUCCUUCAGUGGAUGGUCUGCUCCUCUUAAAUGCAUUAGCGGGAUCUCUUGUUGACCGUCACUUGGUGUGAUAACUAUCUAUGCCACUUGACUAGUAAGCAAAUCUUAUGGGAAUCCGCUCAUAACCGUCUCUUCACUGGGACAACUUUUUGACAUCUUGACCUCAAAUCAGGUAGGACUACCCGCUGAACUUAAGCAUAUCAAUAAGCGGAGGA
rnacentral:rRNA from 1 species